CAAUCCAAACAGGCUAAAAUGGUUUACAGGAGUGCCUCAGGAGGUAGGCAGAGCUGGAAGCAGUAGGAUGCUGCUAAAGGAAGCUUUCCUGCAGCUUUCCACACAAUCUCUUACCACCUUUGCUAACAAAACCAGCUACCUGGAAGCAAAGAAAGAGUCCCACACACGUAAGUGAACUCCUCACCUCCCAACACAGGCACAGUGUGGACGGCAUAGAAUAGAGGGGCAUCAACAGGCGCUCAGAGAGCACUAGGAUACAACAUGCACCAAGAACUGAAGGGAAGGACAUAACAGUGCCAUUUCUGGAAUUAGGUCCAGCCUCUUCUCCAGAUGCAAAGGAGAGGUAAAGAGCAGAAGGACACAAUACUUCAGAGACCCAGAGCCGCCAUUCAAAAGUACACAGUGCCUGUGGAGUGAGAGCCUGCUCAAGCAACUAGCACCCUGCACUCACGCACGUCACCAGGAAACAUGGAGGAAUUCAGCAAACCAAGACCACCUCUUACAGCACACAGUGUGCAGAAGUUGCUACUGGCUUCAGCAAGUCUCAGGCCAUAUGUACUUCACUGACUUUUCCAUCAAGCUCAAGACUGACCCAGCACCUCUGUCAAUAAAGCUUAUAUCUCUUGCAGUAAGUGCCCAAGCCAAAUAUUUUGUACACAAGGUUUUAAACCAAAGCUAAUGUGCUAUUUUCCACAAGAGACUACACAAUUACACCCUAUACCAGACCACAUCAACCCUUCUUCUGUCAUUAGAAUAUUCCCUACUACGGAAUAUUUAAGGCCAUCUGUACCAAAGGCCUUUGGGAGGGACGAAGAGGCAGGCAAAAAAAAAACCACCACAGUUCCCAAACCACUACAAAUAUUUUAUGACUGAAAAGUGAGAAUCACCAUCAGCAGUAACAUAAACACAAAGCUCAAUUCCAUCUGCACGUACCUGACACAGUGUUUCUGUUAAAACCUGCAUGCAAAGUAACCUAUUUGGGGGCCAUUUGUACAUUAAAAAAUCCAAAACCCAACUUCACCGCUUAAAUGACCUCUGCCUACUGACUGACAAGCAGAAGAAAACUCAGCAAUAAGAUCACCAAAACCAAAAUACAGCACACAUUGAAGUUUCUGGACAACCCUACAAAGCCACAGUCUAAACUGCAGCAAGAGCAAGAGUAAUGUCCAAGCAGAAAUAUAAGUCCUUUAACAGCCUAAACAUUUUAGAGUUUUAGAACUUUAGAAGUGGAGCACCCUCCUGCUGUUCCUGUUCCAAAAAAGCACUUUCAAAGGGAAGAUUACAUGAAUAGACUUAUUUCAGUUGUUUCAACAUUUCACUUUGAGGCUCAAGUAUUUGCUCUUCUUGCAUCCAAUCGCUACAGAGCCAAACCAGCCUCAUCAGAGGAGUGCCAGGAACAGACUCUAUGCCUAGCGGUUGCAGUGAGGAAUAAAGCUGCCUCUGAAGAAAGAGCCAGGCACCAACAACAAAGAUGGAACAAAGGUGGUAGCUCCUAGAGCUAUGGGGAUGGCCAGGCUGGAACAGACUAACAGUCCAUUUAGCUCAGGAUGUCAUCAGAAGGCCAGGGGCAAAAUCUGGUUUCUGACUCUGUGCUGCACACACCUCUCCAGCCCCUGAGAAUCACAUACAGGUCAUUGAUUUUAAUACACCAAGCUGAAGCCUGUGACCUUAUCUAACACUUCAUGAAGCCACUUAUACUUUUGUCACUGCAGAGGCUGAAAAAAAACCCAAAACCAACCAACUGACCUCUCAAGGAUUCCAGCAGUAGCCAUUUGGACAGGAGCUACUUUUUAUCACUUUAGUGGGUUUAGGAAAAGCUCACAUGGCCAAGCUGAACUACAGACUAGGGGGGAAACGUUGCUUUUGUUUAGACUGUCUAAAAAACAGACAAACUUUUAAAGAACAAGACGUAUUAAGUGAAGACAAAAGAAGGGGCUCGCAGGGGCAUCCAGCUGUGCUCUUUCAGAGGCCUGUGCCUGCACUCUGCCUCUUGCUGUCCAUUCUCCCAGACAUUUCACACCUCAGCAAAAGCCCCCAAUGCUAAGCCCUGUGCAGCCUCUCACUGGAGGUGGCUGUCACACCAUGCCCACCAGCCGGGCACCUUAUGGAUCCUAGGCAGGCCAGGGAAUGCCAGGCAGGCUCCAAGUCCUCCCCCAUUUCUGGCCGGUGACAGAAGGGUGGUUCCAAGCAGGGCUCCUGCCCCUGCCACACGUCCCAAACAGUGCUGCAUGUGCAGGGCAGCCCCACCAUACUGCUUACCCCCUCCAACAGGGCACCUCAGCCACCACCAGCCCCCUUGCCUCCAUGUGCCCCAGCCCCAUAUUCCAGGCAGUCCCUGAGCCCCCCCCAAGUGACCCCCGCCCUCAUCUUUCCCGCCUCAGGGACCUCCCCCGGAGCCCACCGCCCUCACCUCUCCCGCCUCACAGGGUCCCCUGGUUCAGACAAGACCACCAUGCCCAUCAAGGCAGCCCCAUGC